GCGGCGGUAGCUCAACGGUAGAGCCUUGCCCUUCCAAGGCAAUGACGCGGGUUCGAUUCCCGUCCGCCGCU
rnacentral:tRNA from 1 species